rnacentral:rRNA from 1 species
AGUGAACGCUGGCGGCAGGCCUAACACAUGCAAGUCGAACGGUAGCACAGAGGAGCUUGCUCCUUGGGUGACGAGUGGCGGACGGGUGAGGAAUAUAUCGGAAUCUACCCAAUCGUGGGGGAUAACGUAGGGAAACUUACGCUAAUACCGCAUACGAUCUGAGGAUGAAAGCGGCGGACCGCAAGGCGUCGCGCGAUUGGAUGAGCCGAUAUCCGAUUAGCUAGUUGGUGAGGUAAUGGCCCACCAAGGCAACGAUCGGUAGCUGGUCUGAGAGGAUGAUCAGCCACACUGGAACUGAGACACGGUCCAGACUCCUACGGGAGGCAGCAGUGGGGAAUAUUGGACAAUGGGCGCAAGCCUGAUCCAGCCAUGCCGCGUGUGUGAAGAAGGCCUUCGGGUUGUAAAGCACUGGGUUGGGGAAGAAAAGC